rnacentral:rRNA from 1 species
GCGGUAAUACGUAGGUGGCAAGCGUUGUCCGGGAUUUAUUGGGCGUAAAGCGAGUGCAGGCGGUUCAAUAAGUCUGAUGUGAAAGCUUUCGGCUCAACCGGAGAAUUGCAUCAGAAACUGUUGAACUUGAGUGCAGAAGAGGAGAGUGGAACUCCAUGUGUAGCGGUGGAAUGCGUAGAUAUAUGGAAGAACACCAGUGGCGAAGGCGGCUCUCUGGUCUGCAACUGACGCUGAGGCUCGAAAGCAUGGGUAGCGAACAGGAUUAGAUACCCUGGUAGUCCAUGCCGUAAACGAUGAGUGCUAAGUGUUGGGAGGUUUCCGCCUCUCAGUGCUGCAGCUAACGCAUUAAGCACUCCGCCUGGGGAGUACGACCGCAAGGUUGAAACUCAAAGGAAUUGACGGGGGCCCGCACAAGCGGUGGAGCAUGUGGUUUAAUUCGAAGCAACGCGAAGAACCUUACCAGGUCUUGACAUCCAGUGCAAACCUAAGAGAUUAAGAGUUCCCUUCGGGGACGCUGAGACAGGUGGUGCAUGGCUGUCGUCAGCUCGUGUCGUGAGAUGUUGGGUUAAGUCCCGCAACGAGCGCAACCCUUGUCAUUAGUUGCCAUCAUUAAGUUGGGCACUCUAAUGAGACUGCCGGUGACAAACCGGAGGAAGGUGGGGAUGACGUCAAGUCAUCAUGCCCCUUAUGACCUGGGCUACACACGUGCUACAAUGGACGGUACAACGAGAAGCGAACCUGCGAAGGCAAGCGGAUCUCUGAAAGCCGUUCUCAGUUCGGACUGUAGGCUGCAACUCGCCUACACGAAGCUGGAAUCGCUAGUAAUCGCGGAUCAGCACGCCGCGGUGAAUACGUUCCCGGGCCUUGUACACACCGCCCGUCACACCAUGAGAGUCUGUAACACCCAAAGCCGGUGGGAUAACCUUUAUAGGAGUCAGC